UCUUGGAAUAGUGUGCUUUAAUCAGUAACACAUUGCUUCUUUUCCUUCCUGGACAAAAUUAAGAGCAGAGAUUCCCCAGCCAGCAUGGAGAAGGAGAACUGGACCAUGGUGAGGGAGAGCCUUCUGACAGGGAGGCAGCCACCAGAGCCCUUUGGGGCCUCCUUGUCUUGAUUUUGUAUUGUCCUAUGUGAUGACUGUCCUUGAAAGUGCCCUCAUCUUUACCAGGAUUCUUGUGGAUUAUAGGCUUCACUCACCCAUAUAUUUCUUCCUUAGCCAGCUGUCCUGUCUUUCAUUGAAAUGUUAACCACGACCUGUGCUAUUCCCAAGAUGCUGACAGGCUUCCUCUCAGAGAGGAAGAGCAUCUCAUUUGGUGAAUGCUUCGUGCAAGUCAUUUUUCUACUUCCUCUUUCGAUGCACUGAGUUUGUCCUUUUUUCUGUGAGGUUCUAUGACUGCUAUGUGGCCAUUUGCAGCCUCCUUUAGUACCGGGUGAUUAUGACCAGCUUGUUUAGUGUCUAUCUUGUCAUCCUCUCCUGGAUGGAUGACUUUUUCUUCAUCCUCCCAUCUACUGUCCUUAAGGCAGGACUGCCAUACUGUGGCCCCAGUGUGAUUGAUUAUUUUUUCUGUAACAGUACCCACUUGCUCCUCUAGGCCUGUGCUGAAAUCCCUGUCAUCGAGCUGUUGGACUUCCUCAGCUCCUUUGUCCUACUCAUCAGCUUCUUUACCUCACAGUGGUCUCCUUUGUUUACAUCAUCUCUACCAUUGUGAAGAUACCCUCAGGCCAAGGUCAACAUAAAGCCUUUGGCACCUGUGCCUCUCACUUCCCUGUGGUCUCCAUGGGCUAUGGGAUCUCCAUCCUUGUCUAUGUCUGGCCCUCACAGAAGUGCAGCCUGCAUCUUAACAAGAUCCUUUUAUCCUCUCCAGUGUCAUCACAUCACUCCUGAAUUCCUUCAUCUUCAGUCUACAGAAUGAAUCCAUGAAAGACGGAUUGAAAGUCAUCUUGGCUAAGGGCCAGAACUUCCUCAGGGGAAUGAGAUCCAAGUGAUAGUGUAUUUGAAUGAUCCCAAACCUGGGCAUUCCUAGCCUUACAGAGAAUUGUUCAGUUUAACAAUGCCAGCUUUCUGGGGUUAUGCCUCCAGUAAUGACAAAUCUCACGUUUGUGACAGAAUAUACCCUCACAGGAUUUUCGACCAAUAAAAAUAUGUACAUUUUGCAUUCAGUGCUCUUCUCCUUGAUUUAAUUCUAUGCCCUCAUGGGAAAUGUCUUCAUCAUCAUGAUCACAACUUUGGACCAGCAUCUCCACACCUCCGUGUACUUCUUCUUGAAGAAUUUAUCCUUCUUGGAUCUCUGCCUAAUAUCAAUCACAAUUUCUACAUCCACUGCCAACUCUUU
rnacentral:lncRNA from 1 species